CUGUCAUCCAUCCAGGCAGUAGCACAUGAUGGGGAAUCCGCUGAUGUCCAGGUUUGGGUUCAUUUCUGACUCCACCUAUGAUGAGCUGUACCACCGGGGUCAUCCAUCUUUCUGAUGGAUAGUUUCCCCACUGUACCAGACCAUGAACAUCUUGGGAAAAGGAGCUCACUCACCAUCGUCUCUUGACCCUAUUGGUCCUGCACCAUGGAUAUGAUCACCACUCAUCAUGCCUCAGAGAGUCUGAUUGCUGAUAGCCAGUCUGAUGAGGCCAAGAGCAGUCUUUGAUGGUGUUGAUGGAGGCUGGAGAGACGGUGUAGUUGGUAAAGUUGCUUGUCUUGCAAGUAUGGGAACCUGAGUUUGAGCCCCCCAGAACUCGCAUCAAAACAAACGAACGACCAACAAACAGCAACAG